UGGGAAGACAAGGAAAGAAGUCCACUGG
rnacentral:piRNA from 1 species